rnacentral:sRNA from 1 species
GAAGCGCUUGCGGAAGGUCCCCGCCCCCAGGAUCAGGCUCCCCCUGCAAGGGGACGAUGCAAAGAUGUCUGAGUCCUUAAAAAAGACAAGAUAA